AUUGAACGCUGGCGGCAUGCCUAACACAUGCAAGUCGAACGAGCGGCGGACGGGUGAGUAAUGUAUGGGGAUGUGCCCGAUAGAGGGGGAUAACUACUGGAAACGGUGGCUAAUACCGCAUACUAUCGGAUCAGCCCAUAUGGGAUUAGCUAGUAGGUGGGGUAAAGGCUCACCUAGGCGACGAUCUCUAGCUGGUCUGAGAGGAUGAUCAGCCACACUGGGACUGAGACACGGCCCAGACUCCUACGGGAGGCAGCAGUGGGGAAUAUUGGACAAUGGGCGCAAGCCUGAUGCAGCCAUGCCGCGUGUAUGAAGAAGGCCUUCGGGUUGUAAAGUACUUUCAGCGGGGAGGCGUUACCCGCAGAAGAAGCACCGGCUAACUACGUGCCAGCAGCCGCGGUAAUUC
rnacentral:rRNA from 1 species